AGUGGCCCAGCAUUCCAGGAGUGGCACAUGGCAGCAGGAGGGGUGCCAGGGCUGGGUCCCAGCUGUAGAGCAGGGCUGGCCGCACAUCCUUCCCUUCAUUAAUAUCCUGGAUUUCUGGGCGCCUGGGCAGAGACGCUGUUGGGGCAGAAUCAAGAUGUGACUUCCGUUCCGAGACUAUUAUCUCCACUGGGCCUCACUCCGUGAGCUGACUGUGUGAUCUCACGACGGGAGAGACCUUUCUGGUGUGGCAUCCAGGACCUCGGCCAUGCUGCAGAGGCUUUGGCCACUGACGCACACAACAUCUGGUUUUCAGAUACAAGUCAUGCAGCCAAGACUCAGUUCUCAAGAGGAGCACUGGAGUAGCUGAGAAGAGUCAGGGGGUCCAAAGGAGCCUGGGGUGGGAUGAGGAAGACAAAGAACAUCU
rnacentral:lncRNA from 1 species